ACCUGCAGUCGAGCGGCAGCGGGUCCUUCGGGAUGCCGGCGAGCGGCGGACGGGUGAGGAACACAUGGGAAUCUGCCCAGUCGUGGGGGAUAACGUAGGGAAACUUACGCUAAUACCGCAUACGACCUUAGGGUGAAAGCGGCGGACCGCAAGGCGUCGCGCGAUUGGAUGAGCCCAUGUCGGAUUAGCUAGUUGGCGGGGUAAAGGCCCACCAAGGCGACGAUCCGUAGCUGGUCUGAGAGGAUGAUCAGCCACACUGGAACUGAGACACGGUCCAGACUCCUACGGGAGGCAGCAGUGGGGAAUAUUGGACAAUGGGCGCAAGCCUGAUCCAGCCAUGCCGCGUGAGUGAAGAAGGCCUUCGGGUUGUAAAGCUCUUUUGUCCGGAAAGAAAAGUCUUCGGUUAAUACCCGGGGAUUCUGACGGUACCGGAAGAAUAAGCACCGGCUAACUUCGUGCCAGCAGCCGCGGUAAUACGAAGGGUGCAAGCGUUACUCGGAAUUACUGGGCGUAAAGCGUGCGUAGGUGGUUCGUUAAGUCCGAUGUGAAAGCCCUGGGCUCAACCUGGGAAUGGCAUUGGAUACUGGCGGGCUAGAGUGCGGUAGAGGGUAGUGGAAUUCCCGGUGUAGCAGUGAAAUGCGUAGAGAUCGGGAGGAACAUCUGUGGCGAAGGCGACUGCCUGGACCAGCACUGACACUGAUGCACGAAAGCGUGGGGAGCAAACAGGAUUAGAUACCCUGGUAGUCCACGCCCUAAACGAUGCGAACUGGAUGUUGGGUGCAACUAGGCACUCAGUAUCGAAGCUAACGCGUUAAGUUCGCCGCCUGGGGAGUACGGUCGCAAGACUGAA
rnacentral:rRNA from 1 species